rnacentral:rRNA from 1 species
GAUGUUAGCGGCGGACGGGUGAGUAACACGUGGGUAACCUGCCUGUAAGACUGGGAUAACUCCGGGAAACCGGAGCUAAUACCGGAUAGUUCCUUGAACCGCAUGGUUCAAGGAUGAAAGACGGUUUCGGCUGUCACUUACAGAUGGACCCGCGGCGCAUUAGCUAGUUGGUGAGGUAACGGCUCACCAAGGCGACGAUGCGUAGCCGACCUGAGAGGGUGAUCGGCCACACUGGGACUGAGACACGGCCCAGACUCCUACGGGAGGCAGCAGUAGGGAAUCUUCCGCAAUGGACGAAAGUCUGACGGAGCAACGCCGCGUGAGUGAUGAAGGUUUUCGGAUCGUAAAGCUCUGUUGUUAGGGAAGAACAAGUGCAAGAGUAACUGCUUGCACCUUGACGGUACCUAACCAGAAAGCCACGGCUAACUACGUGCCAGCAGCCGCGGUAAUACGUAGGUGGCAAGCGUUGUCCGGAAUUAUUGGGCGUAAAGGGCUCGCAGGCGGUUUCUUAAGUCUGAUGUGAAAGCCCCCGGCUCAACCGGGGAGGGUCAUUGGAAACUGGGAAACUUGAGUGCAGAAGAGGAGAGUGGAAUUCCACGUGUAGCGGUGAAAUGCGUAGAGAUGUGGAGGAACACCAGUGGCGAAGGCGACUCUCUGGUCUGUAACUGACGCUGAGGAGCGAAAGCGUGGGGAGCGAACAGGAUUAGAUACCCUGGUA